rnacentral:misc_RNA from 1 species
CUGGGGAAUAGGACUUGUCCAGUAACGGCGUCGUAGAAAGUGAGCGAAAGUGAUACAGUGUCAUGAUAAAUUCGCGCGAACGUUUGUCCGUCGAUACCUCUUUCGAGGCUCCGUGAAAAGAACAAGGAAAACGGUGAAUCUGGUUCCCGUGUAGAAAAAGGUGCGCGCGAGUUCGAGGAGUGAAAGAUCGAAUCGGUGUGGUUCGCGCGGACGGCCAUAACUGGUGUGUCUCUGGCAUUCGGUUUACGGUGGUGAUCGCGACGUAGCGAAAAGGGCAGAUGCCCUUACGCGGUUCGUGCUCCCAUUGGCGGGUAAUCGGCGCUGCUCACUCCGGAUCGACGUAUUCAUCUAGAUCCGGUGUUGUCGAUCGCGGCACGUUCUCGUGCUUACUAAACUACGGAAAUACAAGGACGAGCGGUCAGCCGCCCCCCGUGGGGGGCAAUCGUGUUGGAUACGACGACAGUCUUCUGGUGAUCGCCGCUGCUGCUUCUUGUUGCGGUGAUCUCUGUCUGGCAGGAACGGCAGCGGAGGCAGCGCCGUCAACAACAACGGCGACAACGAGAACGACAGCAGCGCCAUCAACAGCGCGGCCGCCAUCGUACCGAGAAGAGGAAGAGGCAGCAGCAGCAGCAGUAGCAGUAGCAGCAGCUAUUCCUUCGAGGAGAGAAAGACGAAGAAAUGCCCGUAGGUCCGCGAACGGCGACGCGAUUAAACAUGGAGGCCCCGUCCAGUUUCUAACACGGUGGCCAAGUCUCGUUUAAAAUCCGCACCACCAACGGAGCCUCUUGAGAGAGCGCUCCUCGAGUCGGCUGCCUAAUAGUCGCCUUUCCUUUGCCCCCGUGCUACUUUUCUUCGCGAGGCCCGCGAGCCCGGAGGAUGGAGCUACGCGUUGGUAAUAAGUACCGGCUCGGACGGAAAAUCGGGAGCGGCUCCUUCGGCGACAUUUAUCUAGGUACCAACAUCUCCACCGGCGAGGAAGUCGCCAUCAAGCUAGAAUGCAUAAAAACACGGCAUCCGCAGUUACACAUAGAAUCCAAGUUCUACAAGAUGAUGCAAGGCGGAGUUGGUAUACCUACUAUAAAAUGGUGUGGAUCGGAAGGUGACUACAAUGUAAUGGUAAUGGAACUGCUUGGUCCAUCGCUGGAGGAUCUGUUUAAUUUCUGUUCAAGAAGAUUUUCUUUAAAGACAGUGUUGCUUCUCGCCGAUCAGUUGAUAUGUAGAACGGACUAUAUUCACAGUCGUAAUUUCAUCCAUCGGGACAUUAAGCCAGAUAAUUUUUUGAUGGGACUGGGAAAGAAGGGAAAUCUCGUGUACAUUAUAGAUUUCGGAUUGGCUAAGAAGUAUCGCGAUGGCCGCACUCACAAGCACAUACCAUACCGAGAGAACAAGAAUCUGACGGGAACAGCCAGAUACGCGAGCAUAAAUACGCAUUUGGGAAUUGAGCAAUCACGGCGAGACGACCUUGAAUCCUUAGGGUAUGUUCUGAUGUACUUCAACAGAGGUAGCUUACCCUGGCAAGGUCUGAAAGCAGCAACCAAGAGGCAGAAGUACGAGCGUAUCUCGGAGAAAAAGAUGUCCACGCCUGUCGAGGAACUGUGCAAAGGUUUUCCUGUAGAAUUCGCGUCGUAUCUAAGGUAUUGUCGAGGGCUGCGUUUCGAGGAGAGGCCCGAUUACUCGUACCUUCGACAACUGUUCCGGACGCUGUUCCACGGACAGGGCUUCACUUAUGACUACGUGUUCGAUUGGAACAUGCUGAAAUUCGGGAACGUGAGGCAACCGACAUUGCCGUCGGCGCAACAGGCGCCGAUGCACUCGCAGCAGACGAACACGGCGCUGCCCUCCGGGACCAAUAACGAUCAGGAGCAUCGAUCAAGGCCCUACACGCGGCAGUGUCUAGCGAACGCGUCGGUGGCGACGGUGGGCCCGACCGUGGGCACGGCCUCGAAUCUGAGAAGUAUGCGGCAGAAGCGUGAGGCGUUGGACACUCUCCGCGAUCAGGACAAUCAGGACAAAAGCGAGCUCCAAGCGUCGGGCGCGGGCGGCCAGGAACGAAGGGUCAGCAUGAGGUUGCACCGUAGGGAUGCAGCCGCGGGUGAAAUGCAGCCGAAGUCCAAGUGAGUUGCUAUAACACGCCGUCCAAUACGCAUCAUCACACAUCGCCGCACUAAGCACCUAAGUAACCGAAAGCCAAC